GGAGAGGUGCCCGAGUGGCUAAAGGGAGCAGACUGUAAAUCUGCCGGCAAACGCCUACGAAGGUUCGAACCCUUCCCUCUCCACCA
rnacentral:tRNA from 1 species